GACAGAGGGUGCAAACGUUGCUCGGAAUCACUGGGCGUAAAGGGCGUGUAGGCGGGAAGGAAAGUCAGAUGUGAAAUCCCCAGGCUCAACCUGGGAACUGCACUUGAAACUCCCUUUCUUGAGUACCGGAGAGGAAAGUGGAAUUCCUGGUGUAGAGGUGAAAUUCGUAGAUAUCAGGAGGAACACCAGUGGCGAAGGCGGCUUUCUGGACGGUAACUGACGCUGAGACGCGAAAGCGUGGGGAGCAAACAGG
rnacentral:rRNA from 1 species